UGUGGGAGCGGGCUUGCCCGCGAUGAGGCCAUCACAUCCACAUUUUUGUUGACUGACAGUCCGCUAUCGCGGGCAAGCCCGCUCCCACA
rnacentral:misc_RNA from 1 species